rnacentral:rRNA from 1 species
AUUGAACGCUGGCGGCAUGCCUUACACAUGCAAGUCGCACGGUAACAGGUCUUCGGAUGCUGACGAGUGGCGAACGGGUGAGUAAUACAUCGGAACGUGCCCGAGAGUGGGGGAUAACGAGGCGAAAGCUUUGCUAAUACCGCAUACGAUCUCCGGAUGAAAGCAGGGGCCCGCAAGGCCUUGCGCUCACGGAGCGGCCGGUGGCAGAUUAGGUAGUUGGUGGGAUAAAAGCUUACCAAGCCGACGAUCUGUAGCUGGUCUGAGAGGACGACCAGCCACACUGGGACUGAGACACGGCCCAGACUCCUACGGGAGGCAGCAGUGGGGAAUUUUGGACAAUGGGCGCAAGCCUGAUCCAGCCAUGCCGCGUGCAGGAUGAAGGCCUUCGUGUUGUAAACUGCUUUUGUACGGAACGAAAAGACUCUGGUUAAUACCUGGGGUCCAUGACGGUACCGUAAGAAUAAGCACCGGCUAACUACGUGCCAGCAGCCGCCGUAAUAC